AAUUUGUUGAUUCAGUUUGCCGCGAACUCUACAAUCGGAAAGUUGUUCCUAGUGAGAAAAGUGCAAUUGUUCGGGAGAAAGGCAUCGUGCCAGUAGAGAACACGAGCAGUGCCGGUAAAAUUUGAAGUGAUUUGUUGAAGACUGCCACACCACCACGGCGCGGGGGGUUGGUGCGAUUUGUUGUGGGUGGAACGCGCGAGGUGAACGGGCGAGUGUUUAGCGAGAAAUGCGUGCGUGACAAAAGCAUCUUAGAAGAGCUGGCGCUAAUGACAGCUGAGGCAAUUAGAGAUAUGGCAAAAUGCACUGCAACCAAGAAAAGGUUAACUAAACUGUUGAAGAAUUAAAAUUGAAAAAGAAUUCGAUAAAGUGAAAUACGAGUAUCACCCGCGGCUUACUGACUCAGUGAGCGGAUAUGUAUGUACGUGUCAAUAGAUACCAAAUAGUGUUCGUUUAAAGAAAAACAGUUUAAAACAAAUACUAAA